UCUCCGUGGGAGCUUGCACAAGGCUCAGACUUUCCGACCUGUGCCUGUGGGGUGGUGUGAAGCUGAUGUUCCGAAAAACCAUCGAGACCGUCACCCAGGAGAGAGCAGGCGGGAAUCUCCUGGUCCUCUGCACCUGGGCUGGAGUCCAGUUCACAGGGCCCAGGCCUUGAUGUUCCCUCCCGCAGGCUGAGAGGCGUGCUCCCUGGCCCACAUUCUCGGCGUGUCUGUGUGUGUCAAAGCCCAGGGGCGCGGGCCCUCACUGCCGUGGGCUGCAGAAAGGGUCCCUCUGGGGAGAGACGGGGCCCACGGGAGUUUUAAAGGCCGAGCGACUUGGAUGAAAGCUGCCACUUCCACCCACGAUUGAUGACCAGGAGCUGAGGUACCUCACAGAGGAGGACAGGCCGGGGAAUUAAUGUGCCGGCAUCUUCAUUGACAAAGCAAAAAAAAGCAAACACACCCGCCAAGGGGGUGAGUCAUGCAGGGAGAUAGCAGGACAGAAGGAAAAGGCCAAGGAUGUAUUAUCCCAAAGUAGCCCCUAAUCCGGCUGCGUCCCCACCUCCCAGCCUGUCUUCUGCCCUCCACCUGGCUUAGCAAGCAAGGCCCCAAAGGAAAACUCCCAUUCUCCUCCUACUGGGAACUGUAGGCUUUCUCAGGAGACAUGGUUUCGAUCCCUGGUCCGGGAAGACCCCACAUGCCACGGAG